CAAGGCGUAGCUAAAACUAAAGCACUCAGCUUACACCUGAAAGAUACCUACACCCGACAGGUCGCCUUGA
rnacentral:tRNA from 1 species